rnacentral:rRNA from 1 species
GAUGAACGCUGGCGGCGUGCCUAAUACAUGCAAGUCGAGCGAACAGAUGAGGAGCUUGCUCCUCUUACGUUAGCGGCGGACGGGUGAGUAACACGUGGAUAACCUACCUAUAAGACUGGGAUAACUUCGGGAAACCGGAGCUAAUACCGGAUAAUAUAUUGAACCGCAUGGUUCAAUAGUUAAAGACGGUUUUGCUGUCACUUAUAGAUGGAUCCGCGCCGCAUUAGCUAGUUGGUAAGGUAACGGCUUACCAAGGCAACGAUGCGUAGCCGACCUGAGAGGGUGAUCGGCCACACUGGAACUGAGACACGGUCCAGACUCCUACGGGAGGCAGCAGUAGGGAAUCUUCCGCAAUGGGCGAAAGCUUGACGGAGCAACGCCGCGUGAGUGAUGAAGGUCUUCGGAUCGUAAAACUCUGUUAUUAGGGAAGAACAAAUGUGUAAGUAACUAUGCACGUCUUGACGGUACCUAAUCAGAAAGCCACGGCUAACUACGUG